CAGCAGCAAGGGUAGGGUACGA
rnacentral:snRNA from 1 species